rnacentral:rRNA from 1 species
GGGGUAAAAUUAAUAAUUUAAAUAUAAUAAAAAAAAUUUUCAAAUUAAAAAUAUUAUAAUGGGGGUUAAAGUAUUUUUAAAAGAAAAAAUAAAAAAAUUUAUAAAGAAUUAUUAUAGUGAUAGAAUUUUGAAAUAAAUUUAAAAUAAAUUAUUAUUAAAGUAAAUUUAAUUUAUUGUAUCUUGUGUAUCAGAGUUUAUUAAAAAAUAUUUUAUUUAUUUAAAAUUCUCGAAUUAAAAAGAGAUAAUUAAUUAAUAAAGUUAUUGUAGCAAAAAUAUUUUAAAUAAUUAGUUUGAAAUGAAAUGUUAAUCGUUUUUUAAGAUAUCUAGUUUUUUUAGAAAAAAAUUUAAUUUUAUAUAAAUUUUAUUAAAAAAUUAAUUAAUAAAUUUUUUAAAAAUAAAAUAUAAUAUUUUAAGGGAUAAGCUUUAAAAUAAAAAAUUAUAAUAAAUAAAAAAAUUAAUUAAAAUUUUAAAAUUUAUAUUGUUUAAAAAAUUUAAUUUAUUAUAAAUAAUUUAAAGAAAAAUAAAAUUUUAAUUUAUUUAAUUUUAUAUAAAAAUAUAAUUUUUAAUUUAAUAAAAUUAGUAAUAAUGAUAAAAUUAGUAUAUAAAUAAUAAGAAAAAAUAAAAUGAUUGAAAAAGUAAUUUAAAGGAAUUCGGCAAAUGUAUAUAUUCACUUGUUUAUCAAAAACAUGUCUUUUUGAAGAUAAUUUAAAGUCGAAUCUGCCCACUGAUAAUAAUUAAAGGGCUGCAGUAUUUUGACUGUACAAAGGUAGCAUAAUCAUUAGUCUCUUAAUUGGUGACUUGUAUGAAUGAUUUGAUGAGAUAUAAGCUGUCUCUAGAUUAUUAAUAAAAAUUAAUUUUUUAAUUAAAAAGUUAAAAUAAUUUUAAAAGACGAGAAGACCCUAUAGAGUUUUAUAAAUUAAAUAAUUAAAGUAAUAUAUUUAAAGAAAAAUUGAAAUUAAUUUAAUUUAUUUUGUUGGGGUGAUAGAAAAAUAAAAAAAACUUUUUUUAAAAUUAUUUACAUAAAUAAUUGAAUAAAUGAUCCAGAAUUUUUGAUUAUAAGAAAAAAUUACCUUAGGGAUAACAGCGUAAUUUUUUUUUUUAGUUCAAAUAAGAAAAAAAGUUUGCGACCUCGAUGUUGGAUUAAGAUAAAAUUUAAAUGCAAAAGUUUAAAAUUUUGAUCUGUUCGAUCAUUAAAAUCUUACAUGAUCUGAGUUCAAACCGGUGUGAGCCAGGUUGGUUUCUAUCUUUAAAAAGUAAAAAUAUUUUAGUACGAAAGGAUCAAAUAUUUAAAUUAAAUUUUAAUUUAAGAAUAUUAAUAAUAAUAUAAUUUAAAAUUUAAAAAUUAAUUAAUAAAUUUAAAAUAAAAUAU